GAACGCUGGCGGCAAGCCUUACACAUGCAAGUCGAGCGGUAGCAUUUCUAGCUUGCUAGAAGAUGACGAGCGGCGGACGGGUGAGUAAAGCAUAGGAAUCUGCCAAUAGAGGGGGAUAGCCCGGAGAAAUCCGGAUUAAUACCGCAUACACCCUAUGGAGAAAAAGCAAGGGGAUCUUCGGACCUUGCACUAUUGGAUGAGCCUAUGUCGGAUUAGUUAGUUGGUGGGGUAAAGGCCUACCAAGGCAGCGAUCCGUAGCUGGUCUUAGAGGAUGAUCAGCCACAUCGGGACUGAGACACGGCCCGAACUCCUACGGGAGGCAGCAGUGGGGAAUAUUGCACAAUGGGCGCAAGCCUGAUGCAGCUAUGCCGCGUGUGUGAAGAAGGCCUUAGGGUUGUAAAGCACUUUCAGUAGUGAGGAAAAGUGUUGUGUUAAUAGCGCAAUGCAGUGACGUUAGCUACAGAAAAGGACCGGCAAACUCCGUG
rnacentral:rRNA from 1 species